GAGUUUGAUCAUGGCUCAGGAUGAACGCUGGCGGCGUGCUUAACACAUGCAAGUCGAACGGGCUCAUAUUGAAACCUAGUGAUUUAUGAGUUAGUGGCGGACGGGUGAGUAACGCGUGGAAAACCUGCCGUAUACUGGGGGAUAACACUUAGAAAUAGGUGCUAAUACCGCAUAAGCGCACAGCUUCGCAUGAAGUGGUGUGAAAAACUCUGGUGGUAUACGAUGGUUCCGCGUCUGAUUAGCUUGUUGGCGGGGUAAUGGCUCACCAAGGCGACGAUCAGUAGCCGGCCUGAGAGGGUGAACGGCCACAUUGGGACUGAGACACGGCCCAAACUCCUACGGGAGGCAGCAGUGGGGAAUAUUGCACAAUGGGGGAAACCCUGAUGCAGCGACGCCGCGUGAGUGAAGAAGUAUUUCGGUAUGUAAAGCUCUAUCAGCAGGGAAGAAAUAGCGACCUUUGGGUCGCCAGACGGUACCUGAUUAAGAAGCCCCGGCUAACUACGUGCCAGCAG
rnacentral:rRNA from 1 species